GGAUCCUACUGUCUCCCCCCUCUAAUCAGUGAAACUGAUCUCCCCGUGAAGAAGCGGGGAUAUACAUAUAAGACGAGAAGACCCCAUGGAGCUUUAAACCUGACAGCACCCGCUCAUUCUAUACCCCAUUAUUUGCCCGACCCCUGUCUGCUCAGUUUUAGGUUGGGGUGACCACGGAGUAUAAAAUAACCUCCAUGAAGAAGGGGAUAUUUCCCUUAUUAGAGAACCACACUUCCAAGAACUAAUAAAUUAAUUUUCAAUGACCCGAUACCUGAUAAUCGAUCAACGAACCAAGUUACCCUGGGGAUAACAGCGCAAUCCACCCUGAAAGCCCUUAUUAACAGGUGGGUUUACGACCUCGAUGUUGGAUCAGGGUAUCCCAGUGGUGCAGCAGCUACUGAGGGUUCGUUUGUUCAACGAUUAAAACCCU
rnacentral:rRNA from 1 species